rnacentral:tRNA from 1 species
GGUGACUCAGUGGUAGGGUGCUUGCCUUGCAUGCAUGAGGCCCUGAGUUUGAUUCCUCAGCACCA